GCAUUGGCAUUAACCUCUUCGAUACAUUGGAGAGCCAUCAUGCCUUGAAUUUCGUUUCGGUCAACUCUUCGGAUCAGGAUUGGUAGAGCUUUGUCUGCUGAGCUCCCUUCGUUUACGUUGUAGAAGCUUCGGUCUCCAUUAAACGGCAUAGGUUGAUCUUGCUCUUCGCUCCAUGUUUCCAAGCAUUCUACCCAAGGAGGCGUCGGACCAUGAAAAGCGGGACGAGGGUUAGGAUUUAGAAAUGGAGGUACCGGGGGUAGGUUCUCAACCUCGGGUUCAGAGUUAUCACCAUCCAAAAGCUCUUCAACAUGGUGAUCAUUCAAAGGGAUUGGAUGAUCAUUCUCGGGUUCUUCUCCAAACCAUCCAGCAUUGUCUUCGUUCGGAAGGUACAGGUUGCCGUCGGGAUGGAGUCCAGCCAUGUUAUCUACGCGAGAAUUAGGGUAAGGAAAUAGUUAUUAGACAAACUAACUAGAUAAUUAUUAAAGGAUUUUCCUUAGUUACAUCACUAUUUGUAAAGUUCAUACCAGUCAUAUGAAAUCAAAACAGGACAGGCCUUCGAAUAAGUGACCUUAACUCCAAAUUCACAAGGAACAGAGGUAAAGUUUUUAGACUUGUUUCCACAUCACAGCCAUUCUUGGACACAUGCUAAUCACUCCUCGGACCAGCAUAGUUGAUCAGGCUAUGCCACUCCCAAGACUGACAAUACAUCCCUGAGCUUACCUGUGAUAUUGAACAAUCGUAAUACUUUUGUUCUUGUCAUUGUGACAUAGAUUUUAGUAUGAAUGCAGACACAUAUACUUAGUUAAAUAUUUUAUUAUUUAAAAGUAUAAACUCCUGGUCAGAGUAUUUUAAUCCCAUUGUGUUUAUAGUUCGUAUAUCUUUUAUGGGUUGAUACACUCAAUUCACUAUAAACAAUGCUCAGAUACCAAUCUAUCACACCCCAAAACCGAGAACAGCGGAAACGUUCUGGGGCGGAGGACGUCAUGUAAUGUAUCAUAAUAACGUAAAGUAGUAAACAAGCAACAACAUCAUCCAUUGCAUUAAUAGUAUAAUUUUAAUUACAAGUGUGUUCUUUCAUAGUAUAAGACAACAAAAUAAAUAAUCAAAAUAAAAGAGGAGUCUUGAUUUCUCCGUCUUCACAAAACCUGGUCGUCGUACUUGUCUAUUUGUGACUAGAGAAUACAAGUUAUUUUGAAAGCGAGUAUCAGCAAUAAAGCUGGUGAAUUCAUAAGUAUUAAUGUUUCUUUGAUUUGUAAAAAGUGUAAAGCAAAGACUUGUAAACAUUUAGAGAAAAGUAUGAAAAUGUUUGUAAGUAAUUGUAAACAUUUGAAAACCCGAGAAAAUCCUAUAUUUCCUACUAGUAUAAAAGUAGUCUUCUACCAAGACUCGACUAUUUUGAAAGUAGUCUUCUACCAAGACCCGACUGUUUUGUAAGAAAGCAUCACUGUAAAUGUGACAGUUUUUCCCUGUUGAACUAUUAUUAUAAAAGUUAUAGUCUACCUCGUCGAUUAUGUGUACGAGUCAUAAUAUAAAGGUAAUAAGGAAAAAUAGUUUAUCUAUAUCAAAUAUAUCCUACCUCGUCAUUCAUGUGAAUGUGUCACAAAAUAAAGGAAGGAGAAUAAUAUAAUAACUAAAUAUGUAUUCUUUCGCAUUAGGAUAUUCACGGCAUGGAAACUCGCCGAACUGUACAACCGUGGACACCCGUCGACACCCCUUUUCCCUACUGUAGCUAACAGCUUUGGGUGUGGAAUGGUAUGUCCCAAAAGGUUUGUAACAGAUCCUAUGUAAUAGUAUCUAUUAAACGUAUUAAAGUAGAUGUGUUCAUGUAAGCGUAUCUCUGUAAACAUAUCAAUGUAAACAUAUCUCUGUAAGCGUAUCUUUGUAAACGUAUUCAUGUAAGCGUAUCUAUGUAAAUGUACUCAUGUAAGCGUAUCUAUGUAAACGUACUCAUGUAAGCGUAUCUAUGUAAACGUAUUCAUGUAAGCAUAUAUAUGUAAACGUAUUCAUGUAACAUGUAAUGUAUUAGUAUAGACUCAUGAAUGAACUGACUCUUGUGUGAUUCCUUGUACUUGGAAUUGUAAGUAGUAUCUCCUAACUAUACCUAUUAUAGUUACUAGUAAUGUACGAGUAUAACCGGAAGUAUACCUUUGCUACCCAAAGGUGCUGAACUGACUAAUGGAACCUUUAUACCUAUAUAUGUAUACAUGAUAUAUAAAUAAUAUUUAGACGACAUUCGGACGAGCAACCGAUGCCCUAAGGCCACAUCCCAACGAGGAAAAGGAAAUAAAGCGAGCUAACUGUCCUAAGUCCUUUAAACAUUAUUUAUAUAACUAUACAUAUGUAGGCAUGCAUUUGACAAUAUAAAAGCGUAAAAGAAGUUUUGUAAAACCUUUGAAAAGUUUAAUACUAAGAAACGAUGACCUGAUGUCAGUUUAUAAAACGAUUGAAAGUAUUUUGUUUGAUAAGACAGUUUAAGUAUAAGGAAAACCUUUGUUUGAAAACACCUUUGUAACAGAGUUUGAAAGGAAACUUACAGUGUGUAAGAUAGUUUGAUAAAGAGUUUUAAACAUGUAAAAACAUUCAAGAAAGUCAUUUGAAGAAAUAUGUUUGGUAAAAUAGUUAACGUAUAGUAAAUCCAUUUGCGCUAGUUAUUAAUCACAUGUGAUUGAUAUAAUAACUAAACAUGAUUCAACUUGUAUUCCCCCCAUAAAGCNCGUUUCAUAUCAAGCAGGUAUCCUUCGUACACCCUCUAGCGUACUUGGACCUCUAUGACUUCGGCUCGGGUUUCAGCUAGUGCUUGCAGUAGGGUCUCAUGGUUUCUCUCAGACCACUCACUUGUGUGAUCAAGGUCAUUGGUGCGAAUGGUAUGCAUUCUUGCAUUGGCAUUAACCUCUUCGAUACAUUGGAGAGCCAUCAUGCCUUGAAUUUCGUUUCGGUCAACUCUUCGGAUCAGGAUUGGUAGAGCUUUGUCUGCUGAGCUCCCUUCGUUUACGUUGUAGAAGCUUCGGUCUCCAUUAAACGGCAUAGGUUGAUCUUGCUCUUCGCUCCAUGUUUCCAAGCAUUCUACCCAAGGAGGCGUCGGACCAUGAAAAGCGGGACGAGGGUUAGGAUUUAGAAAUGGAGGUACC
rnacentral:lncRNA from 1 species